GGUUUCUUAGUGGAGUGCUUAUCACGUUCGCUUCACACGCGAGAGGUCUCCGGUUCGAUCCCAGACGGAACCA